GGUUAAGCGACUAAGCGUACACGGUGGAUGCCCUGGCAGUCAGAGGCGAUGAAGGACGUGCUAAUCUGCGAUAAGCGCCGGUAAGGUGAUAUGAACCGUUAUAACCGGCGAUUUCCGAAUGGGGAAACCCAGUGUGACUCGUCACACUAUCAUUAACUGAAUCCAUAGGUUAAUGAGGCGAACCGGGGGAACUGAAACAUCUAAGUACCCCGAGGAAAAGAAAUCAACCGAGAUUCCCCCAGUAGCGGCGAGCGAACGGGGAGGAGCCCAGAGCCUGAAUCAGCAUGUGUGUUAGUGGAAGCGUCUGGAAAGGCGCGCGAUACAGGGUGACAGCCCCGUACACAAAAGCGCAUGUGUUGUGAGCUCGAUGAGUAGGGCGGGACACGUGGUAUCCUGUCUGAAUAUGGGGGGACCAUCCUCCAAGGCUAAAUACUCCUGACUGACCGAUAGUGAACCAGUACCGUGAGGGAAAGGCGAAAAGAACCCCGGCGAGGGGAGUGAAAAAGAACCUGAAACCGUGUACGUACAAGCAGUGGGAGCACCCUUCGGGGUGUGACUGCGUACCUUUUGUAUAAUGGGUCAGCGACUUAUAUUCUGUAGCAAGGUUAACCGUAUAGGGGAGCCGUAGGGAAACCGAGUCUUAACCGGGCGUUAAGUUGCAGGGUAUAGACCCGAAACCCGGUGAUCUAGCCAUGGGCAGGUUGAAGGUUGGGUAACACUAACUGGAGGACCGAACCGACUAAUGUUGAAAAAUUAGCGGAUGACCUGUGGCUGGGGGUGAAAGGCCAAUCAAACCGGGAGAUAGCUGGUUCUCCCCGAAAGCUAUUUAGGUAGCGCCUCGUGAAUUCAUCUCCGGGGGUAGAGCACUGUUUCGGCUAGGGGGCCAUCCCGGCUUACCAACCCGAUGCAAACUGCGAAUACCGGAGAAUGUUAUCACGGGAGACACACGGCGGGUGCUAACGUCCGUCGUGAAGAGGGAAACAACCCAGACCGCCAGCUAAGGUCCCAAAGUCAUAGUUAAGUGGGAAACGAUGUGGGAAGGCCCAGACAGCCAGGAUGUUGGCUUAGAAGCAGCCAUCAUUUAAAGAAAGCGUAAUAGCUCACUGGUCGAGUCGGCCUGCGCGGAAGAUGUAACGGGGCUAAACUAUGCACCGAAGCUGCGGCAGCGACACUAUGUGUUGUUGGGUAGGGGAGCGUUCUGUAAGCCUGUGAAGGUGUGUCGUGAGGCAUGCUGGAGGUAUCAGAAGUGCGAAUGCUGACAUAAGUAACGAUAAAGCGGGUGAAAAGCCCGCUCGCCGGAAGACCAAGGGUUCCUGUCCAACGUUAAUCGGGGCAGGGUGAGUCGACCCCUAAGGCGAGGCCGAAAGGCGUAGUCGAUGGGAAACGGGUUAAUAUUCCCGUACUUGGUGUUACUGCGAAGGGGGGACGGAGAAGGCUAUGUUGGCCGGGCGACGGUUGUCCCGGUUUAAGCGUGUAGGUGUGUGUUCCAGGUAAAUCCGGUUCACUUUAACACUGAGGCGUGAUGACGAGGCACUACGGUGCUGAAGCAACAAAUGCCCUGCUUCCAGGAAAAGCCUCUAAGCAUCAGGUAACAUCAAAUCGUACCCCAAACCGACACAGGUGGUCAGGUAGAGAAUACCAAGGCGCUUGAGAGAACUCGGGUGAAGGAACUAGGCAAAAUGGUGCCGUAACUUCGGGAGAAGGCACGCUGACACGUAGGUGAAGUGAUUUACUCAUGGAGCUGAAGUCAGUCGAAGAUACCAGCUGGCUGCAACUGUUUAUUAAAAACACAGCACUGUGCAAACACGAAAGUGGACGUAUACGGUGUGACGCCUGCCCGGUGCCGGAAGGUUAAUUGAUGGGGUCAGCGCAAGCGAAGCUCCUGAUCGAAGCCCCGGUAAACGGCGGCCGUAACUAUAACGGUCCUAAGGUAGCGAAAUUCCUUGUCGGGUAAGUUCCGACCUGCACGAAUGGCGUAAUGAUGGCCAGGCUGUCUCCACCCGAGACUCAGUGAAAUUGAACUCGCUGUGAAGAUGCAGUGUACCCGCGGCAAGACGGAAAGACCCCGUGAACCUUUACUAUAGCUUGACACUGAACAUUGAGCCUUGAUGUGUAGGAUAGGUGGGAGGCUUUGAAGCGUGGACGCCAGUCUGCGUGGAGCCGACCUUGAAAUACCACCCUUUAAUGUUUGAUGUUCUAACGUGGACCCGUGAUCCGGGUUGCGGACAGUGUCUGGUGGGUAGUUUGACUGGGGCGGUCUCCUCCUAAAGAGUAACGGAGGAGCACGAAGGUUGGCUAAUCCUGGUCGGACAUCAGGAGGUUAGUGCAAUGGCAUAAGCCAGCUUGACUGCGAGCGUGACGGCGCGAGCAGGUGCGAAAGCAGGUCAUAGUGAUCCGGUGGUUCUGAAUGGAAGGGCCAUCGCUCAACGGAUAAAAGGUACUCCGGGGAUAACAGGCUGAUACCGCCCAAGAGUUCAUAUCGACGGCGGUGUUUGGCACCUCGAUGUCGGCUCAUCACAUCCUGGGGCUGAAGUAGGUCCCAAGGGUAUGGCUGUUCGCCAUUUAAAGUGGUACGCGAGCUGGGUUUAGAACGUCGUGAGACAGUUCGGUCCCUAUCUGCCGUGGGCGCUGGAGAACUGAGGGGGGCUGCUCCUAGUACGAGAGGACCGGAGUGGACGCAUCACUGGUGUUCGGGUUGUCAUGCCAAUGGCACUGCCCGGUAGCUAAAUGCGGAAGAGAUAAGUGCUGAAAGCAUCUAAGCACGAAACUUGCCCCGAGAUGAGUUCUCCCUGAGACUUAAAGUCUCCUGAAGGAACGUUGAAGACGACGACGUUGAUAGGCCGGGUGUGUAAGCGCAGCGAUGCGUUGAGCUAACCGGUACUAAUGAACCGUGAGGCUUAACCUU
rnacentral:rRNA from 1 species